CGGAAGCGGCGGCCGGGCAGCCAUGUCGGCUUUGUCUGCGGCGCGGGCGGCCCUGCGGGUCUACGCGGUGGGCGCGGCGGUGGUCCUGGCGCAGCUGCUGCGCCGCUGCCUCGGGGGCUUCGCGGAGCCAGUCUUCCCCGCACAACCCGAGCGUGUUGCUGUCGUGACCGGCGGGACGGACGGCAUCGGCUUCGCGACCGCCAAGUGUCUGGCCAAGCUCGGCAUGCACGUCAUCAUAGCGGGAAAUAAUGAUGCCAAAGCCCUGGAAGUCGUGAGGAAGAUAAAAGAAGAAACCCUGAAUGACAAAGUGGAGUUUUUGUAUUGCGACCUGGCGUCCAUGAGGUCUGUCCGGCAGUUCGUCCAGAAGUUCAAGAUGAAGAACAUCCCCCUCCAUGUGCUGGUCAAUAAUGCCGGCGUGAUGAUGGUCCCUGAGCGGAGCACUGAGGACGGCUUUGAGGAGCACUUUGGGGUGAACUACCUGGGCCACUUCCUGCUCACCAACCUCCUCCUGGACACCCUGAAAGCAUCCGGUUCUCCUGGCCACAGCGCCAGGGUGGUGACUGUGUCCUCGGCCACGCACUAUGUUGGGGAGCUGAACCUGGACGACCUCCAGAGCAGGAGCGGCUACUCGGCGCACGGCGCCUACGCCCAGAGCAAGCUGGCCCUGGUGCUGUUCACCUACCGCCUGCAGGCGCUGCUGGCCGGCGCCGGCAGCCACGUGACCGCCAACGUGGCCGACCCCGGCGUGGUCAACACCGACCUCUACAGACACGUCUUCUGGGGCACGGGGCUCAUGAAGAAGAUAUUCGGCUGGUGGUUUUCCAAGACCCCAGAGGAAGGAUCCUGGACUUCCGUCUACGCGGCGGUCUCCCCUGCGCUGGAAGGUGUCGGCGGCCGCUACCUUUACAACGAGAAAGAGACCAGGUCUCUGGCGAUCACGUAUGACCGAAAGCUGCAGCGACAGCUGUGGGCCAGGAGUUGCCAGUUGACCGGCACCGCUGACGUGACCCAGGACGCCUUGUCGGGGUAGCAGCCACGCCGCGGGACCGCGUUCAGUCCCGCACUCGCAGAUGCACAAGAGGCUGUGAAUUCUGUGCCGCAGAACCGGGAGAUGUUGGCGUGAACCGGCAGGAGACCAGGACAAGGCCCCCGGGACGUUCAUCUGAGAUGCGCACCCCUCGUCUGAGUGCCGCUGUGGCUGGCAGAGCUGAGAGCCCAGCACGUGAGACUCUGCACAGCGGCCAGAGAGGAGCAGGCCGGGCCCUUCUGCAGGGCGCGUAGACUCCGCAGGGCGUCCGCGUGGCUGAGAAGCAUCCUGACGCCCUUCACGGGACAGCCGCGGGUGACAGGAAGGAUGACAGGGACCGGGGACCAGCACCGAGACGGGGUGCACCCAGAGGUCACGGGGCACAAUGACACCUGAGCACCAGAGGUUCCUGGACUUCUCCAUUCCAGCUGCAGGAGAGAUGGCGACCAACAAUGUGACUCACAAGACCAAUUAAUGCAUCCUCGUGGCCUGUAUGUCACACGUCUGCAGAGCCCCCCAGGGAAUUCAGGUCUUUGUGUGAAGACGGGGGCACGUGGCCCCUCUGGAAGGCCCUGCUCGCUCAGACAGCUCACUGAGAUGCCGUGUGUAUGUGUCCUGGAGCAUCUGUAACAAAUAACCUCAAACUGGGAGGCUAAAAACCACAGACAUCCACCCUCCCUGAGUCCUGGAGACCAGACGUCUGAGGUCAAGGUGUCCCAGGGCCGCGCUCCCUCCGGAGGCCCCAGGGGAGGGUCCCUCCUGCCUCUUCCAGCUUCUGGGGGCUCCAGGCGUCCAUCCCUGGGCUGGUGGCCGCCUCCCUCCCGUCUCUGCCUCCGUCUCCACGUGGCGUCUCCUCUGUGUCUGCGUCUCUCCUCUUCUGUCUCUUCUGAGGACACUGUCCUUGAAUGCAGGGCCACCUCCUCCAGGAGGACCUCCUCUCAGGUCCUUCCCUUCCACCUGGAUAAUCAAGAAUGACCUCUUCAAGUGAAGAUUCAUCAUGAAUUAUGUCUGCCAAGACCCUUUUUUUGCCAACAAAGUCAUAUCCACAAGUAACAACAAGAACAAAAAUAUGAAAACGAAUUAUGUCUGUAUCUGCAUGACUGGGACACUGUGCUGUGCAACCAGAGACAGACACAUUGUAACUGACUGUACCUCGACUUAAAAAAAUAUGUAUGUAUACAACUCACAAUUAAUAGGCAUUAGGACACGCUCGCACCUUUUUGGUAGACAUUAGGAUUUAAUCCACCACAUGCUGCAUGAACAGGGUGCCUUGGAAUCCCAGGAAACGCCCGCUCCUCUCCUGGUGACCCGGGACGCCGUGGAGGCGAUGGCUUCCUCUGCACGUCCCCAGGGUGGGCUUCCCGGGCCAGGGAGCCGCACGGCCGCCCAGGACCCUGGGCUCCUCAGGGCGCCUGUUGGCUUGAUGCUCUGCUGCCGCCAGCUUGGAACUGCUAAUGCAGCGUGAACGAGGGACGCAUACGUUCAUUUUGCCCUCAGCUGCGUGUGCCAUAGUCCUCUCUGCUCCAACCUCAAGAAAUAGGAGCCAGUGUGCAGCCAGUAAGGAACCCCCCUCCUCCCAGGGCACCCCCUUCCCCGUCAAACCGUCGAUGCACUCAAGCCUGGCCUUGGUGGGGAAGAUCUCCCGUAAGGUCCAGUAAGGCUGGUGGGUUUUGGCUGCGCGCUGGGGGUUCCUCUGCGAAUGGCGGGUGCUCAGCCCCGCCGACCACAAAACUCCCAAGUUCAUUCCUCUGGGCAUCAGCGUUCCUUGUGACAUCCUCAAGUCCUCCUGCCUCUCGGGCGCAUUUCAGGACUCCCUGAGCCAGGCAGAUGCAGACCGCGGCUUCCAGCCCUGCGCUGCUGACACCUCCCGGGGCUGCUCAGAUGUUCGGCUAGGCCCUACCGCGCUGACUGAUGUGUCUCGGAACCAGAAUUACUUCCUACGGUGAACCCAGCAUGGAGACGUGCCUCGCCUUAAUAUUUCUGCCAGCCAGGACUGUGUCCCGAGAAGCAGAAUCUUGACCUCUGGGGAGACCCCAGUUUUGGAGGGUUUGCAUGUCGUCCGAGAGCCCUUUAUGGCCUGAGGUCAUGGUCGCAGCUGUGCCAGCCACUGUCACCGUCAUCACAAAGGUUGUUCCCAAGUACAGUCUCAGGGUGGGCUGGCGCGGUGACUGCUGGCCACCCCAGCCUCCUCCGUCACUGGGAGAAUCAGCUUCCUGGCUCCUGAAAGACGCCACGGUCCCCGGGCUAAGACGGGCUCCAAGAACCGUUUGGACCUUGUAGGACCCUGGCCUCCGAUGGCUCCUCCUAAUUGCAUGGCAGCUCUUCUGUCACCGGCCCAGCACAGGAGAGACUGAACGUGAUCUCGGAGACAUGGACGCGCUCCCUCCGCAUCGGACCGCAAGCCUCCUCACGGCUCAGAGACGCUUCCAGCCGCCGGAGGGGCCCGUGCACCGCCGGCAGAGAAAUGCGCUGGAGUUGUCUUUUCUGUCAUCUGGACACCAACAUCGUAGAGACUGGGUCCAAAUCUGUUACUUGCUUACCGAUGGCCAUGAAGGCACGAACACGAGCCCAGCCACGAGGACCUCCCGGACUUCUCCGUGUGCAGAGGGGGGGCCCCUGUGCGCAGUCCACAGCCCGGGAACUCUCUGGUCUCUGGGACUCCCGCCAGAGAAGCAUCUUCUCAGGUGGUAACAAAUCAGGCUGGCCGUGCUGCUUCCUUUGGGUGAGAGAGGCGGAUGUCGGAAUGCAGACAUGUCCUCCAGGUGUCCUCUCCCGGAACCAACUUUCUUCGACUUUGGUUUUGAACUUCAAGAAAAGGACAGCCCAGGAUAGAUACGGACGUGUGGUAACAAAUCAGGCUGGCCGUGCUGCUUCCUUUGGGUGAGAGAGGCGGAUGUCGGAAUGCAGACAUGUCCUCCAGGUGUCCUCUCCCGGAACCAACUUUCUUCGACUUUGGUUUUGAACUUCAAGAAAAGGACAGCCCAGGAUAGAUACGGACGUGUGGUAACAAAUCAGGCUGGCCGUGCUGCUUCCUUUGGGUGAGAGAGGCGGAUGUCGGAAUGCAGACAUGUCCUCCAGGUGUCCUCUCCCGGAACCAACUUUCUUCGACUUUGGUUUUGAACUUCAAGAAAAGGACAGCCCAGGAUAGAUACGGACGUGUGGUAACAAAUCAGGCUGGCCGUGCUGCUUCCUUUGGGUGAGAGAGGCGGAUGUCGGAAUGCAGACAUGUCCUCCAGGUGUCCUCUCCCGGAACCAACUUUCUUCGACUUUGGUUUUGAACUUCAAGAAAAGGACAGCCCAGGAUAGAUACGGACGUGAAACAUCCGCUGUGGCUGGAUAUGAAUUAUCGAGUCCUAGGACAGAGGAAGAAUCAGGCCGGAACGUUCCAAACUCCACAGACUGCCUCUUUCCUGCAUGUGCCACCCAGAUGGAAAAUCCCAAAGAGCCUCAACCGUCUUGAUUUUCAAAUCCGCUCCGAUUUACUCUGCUUUAGAAAGAGCACGACAAAGAAUUCAUCUUCUUUGCAGAAUCAGGUGGCAGGUCUCUGGGCUCCUCCCUCUGGCUGGCUGUAAGGGACCAUCCUGUCGGCAGGAUUCAUUUGGGGAGAACCUAAAUUUGAGCUCGCAGGCAUGGUUCUCCCAUCCCCGGGUUCCAUGAGGCUGAGACUAUCUGCUUGUUCUGCAAGGGGUCGACGCGUGAAACAAGGUAACCAGAGCUCUGUCUUCCUCACCUACACUGCUCAGGGGAGCCUAGGUUGUACUGCAACGCCAGAAUCUCAGACACUUUGUGCCCCCCACCCCCGAAGAAUGAUCUGUCCUCACCGUGUUUCCGGUGGGAAUGUAGAUGUCUGAGCUGACAAUGCCUUCACUGUAAACUCUGACCUCAGUUAUCACAGGAGGACACAGUCACUGAUAUGGGCUGCCCACCCCUCACGUUUGCACGGUGACACUGGACCUGUCCCACAAGGCAUGCUGGGAAACGUGGGUGUGAGAUGCAGGGACCAGUGGGUACCACUGUCUCUGCCCCAAACUCUCAGAUCUGCUGACCCCAGUCAAACACCAAAACAAAUGCGUAUCAAUAGUAAUUUUACCCUCCUCCUGGGAGAGACCUGGGUAUUCUGUAUAAACCGGGGGUUAAUACCCAUAUGGACCACGAAGGUAGGAGAAGAAAGCAAAGAUGGUAGCGAUGUGGGCUCCUGGUCCGAGCAGAUUCUAGGUGUUUGGGAAUGCAGGGAAAACUUCUAGACAAGAAAAAGUAAGAGUAAGAAGGAACUGGGCAUACCCAUCCAAUAGCUCCUAUUUUUUCUUUUUUUUUUUUUAAUUGAGUUAUAGUCCAUUUACAAUGUUGUGUCAAUUUCUACUGCACAGCACAGUGCUUCAGUCAUACACGAACAUAAAUAUAUUCAUUUUCAUAUUCUUUUCCACUGUGAUCUAAUACAAGAUCUUGAGCAUAUUUCCCUGUGCUAUACAGUACAAUGUUGUUUAUUUAUUCUACAUUUUGAAAUCCCAGUCUGUCCCUUCCGACCCCCCGCCCCCUUGGCAAGCACAAGUUUGUUUUCUAUGUCCAUGAGUCUGUUUCUGUUUCGUAUUUAUGGAUUUUUUCUUUUUAGGUUCCACAUGGGAGCGAUCUCAUAUGGUCAUUUUCUUUCUCUUUCUGGCUUGCUUCACAUAGAAUGACAUUCUCCAGGUCCAUCCAUGUUGCUGCAAAUGGCAUUAUUUUAUUCUUUUUUAUGGCAGAGUAAUAUUCCAUUGUAUAAACGUACCACCUCUUCUUCAUCCAGUCAUCUCUUGAUGGACAUUUAGGCUGCUUCCAUGUCUUGGCUCUUGUAAACAGUGCUGCCAUGAACACUGGGGUGCUGGUGUCAUUUUGAAGUAGGGUUCCUUCUGGAUAUGUGCCCAGGAGCAGGAUUCCUGGAUCACAUAAUAAGUGUAUUCCUACUAUUUGAGGAAUCUCCAUAGUGUUUUCCACAGAGGCUUCACCAAACUGCAUUCCCACUAGCAGUGUAGGAGGGACCCCUUCUCUCCACAGCCUCUCCAGCAUUUGUUGUUUGUGGACUUUUGAACGACGGGCAUUCUGACUGGUGUGAGGUGAUACCUCAUUGUAGCUUUGAUUUGCAUUUGUCUGAUAUUUAGUGAUAUUGAGCCUUUUUUCAUGUGUUUAUUGAACAUUUGUAUGUCUUCCUUAGAGAAUUGCUUGUUUAGGUCUCCUGCCCAUUUUUGGAUUGGGUUUGUUUUUUUCUUAUUAAGCUGUAAGAAUUGUUUAUAUAUGCUGGAGCUGAAGCCCUUGUCAGUUGCAUCUUUUGCAAAUAUUUUCUCCCAUUCUAUAAGUUAUCAUUUUGUUUUGCUUAUUGUUCCCUUUGCUGUGAAAAAGCUUGUAAGUUUAAUUUUGGCUACUAUUUUUAAAACGUGGAGAAGAACAAGUGUCAGCGAGGAUGUGGGGCAACCAGCACCCCUGUGCCCUGUUGGUGGGAAUGUAAAUGGUGCAGCUGCUACAGGAAACAGGCGUCAAAAAUUAAACAUAGAAUCACCUCGUGAUCCAGCAGUCCCAAUUCCGGGUGUGUAUGCAGAAGAACUGAGAGCAGGGUCUUCACCCCCAUGUUCACAGCAGCACUGUGUACAGUAGACAAAGCAUGGAAGCAAUCUAAGUGCGUAUCAGCAGAUGACUGGAUAAAGCAGAAGUGGUACAUUCAUACAACGGAAUACUACUCAGCCAUGAGAAAUGAUAAAAUAUUGCCAUUUGCAGCCACAUGGAUGGACUUGGAGAUUAUCACACAAAGUGAAGUCAGAGAAAGACAAAUAUCAUAUGAUAUCACUUAUAUGUGGAAUGUAAAAUACGAUAGAAAUGAACUUAUUUACAAAACAGAAACAGACUCACAGACAGAAAACAUAGUUACCGGAGGGGGGAGGAGGGAAGGAUAAAUUAGGAGUUUGGGAUUAGCAGAUACACACUACUGUAUAUAAAGCAGAUAAACAACAAGGUCCUACUGUAGAGCACAGGGAACUAUAUUCAAUAUAUUGUAAUAACUUAUGAUAAAAAAAAUGUAAAAAGAAAUAUUUGGAUGUUCAUUUAUGACGGAAGCAUUAUGCUGGACACCAGAAAUUGACACAGCCUUGUAAACUGACUAGACUUCAAGAAAAAUACAUUAUAUGUACACAAAAACUUUUUUAAUGGUCUGCACAAAAGAGAGAAACAGAACUGCUGAGUUCAAGUACUGAUGCAGGCCCUCUGUGCUGUGAGAAACCAAACUUUAGUGAGCUUAAGGGAAAACAAAUACAUUAGUUUAGAAACACUGAGAAGAUUCGCCAAAGCCCACUUGUGAGAAACAGGGUUUCCUACAAAGGAAUACGGCAGGGAUGGGUCACAAGCACUAAUUAUAGAAAUGACAGAAGAUACGUGCAGGCCAGCAGCGACUUAACAAAAAUGCAGUGUCGUUUAUCAGGGAGGGGAAAAAAAAAAGGAGAGAAGAGGAGGCAGGGAAGAGGAGGGAGGGAAGGAAGAACAGAAUGUGGGGUCUCAGACAAACUAGACACAUGAGCCUCGUGUCUGCGUUUCGCGGGUAACAGAACGGCGGCGGCAGCCGGGAGAUGGACCGUGAAGUUUCCCCCGGCUCGGCACGCGGGGAUCGCUGUGUGCGUUCUGGUGCACGGAGUCCCUGCAGCUGGGAUGAGCGUGACUCGUGAUCAAGCAAAAGUAAAAACUGACUAAAUCCUUGAGAAAUGCUCAGAUCGUCAGCUGCAGCCUCGAAACAUCAAGCCCUCCUGAAGAAGCUUGUGUUUUACUGAUCCGGGGCCAAAACACCUUUUUAUGGAUUGGUACCCACUGUAAAAAAACAAAAACAAACAAACAAACAAAAACAACCAAAUUGUGCAAAAGAAAAAAAAAAUACAUGUUCAAAAAAGGAAGAGGAAAAAGAAGUAAAAGUGACCCAAACAACCAGUUGCCCCAGCUCCGUCCGGUCGUGGCGGUGCAGCCCGGCUAAGCCAGCGGACCCUGAGGUCAAGGUCAAACCAUCCCUGACCCUCCCGCGCCACCGUAACUUACUUGCCACAGCCUUAUUCCAUGCUGUUGCCUUUUCAGAGUCUAUCCGUGUCCCCAGGGCUCCCCCGUUCUCUGAGGGGGCCCAGUGCUCCCCGGGGCUACCUCGGGGUGUUCCCCAGCCACGUGCUCCUGGGGAUGGGCUGCUGGAUGGCUUUUGGGCCUGAAUCCCUGCCCCAGAUUCCUUGGAGCCGUGCCCCUCGCCCCCCGCCUGCAUCCCCACCCACACGCACCUUCCUAUCUUCGAGGUACCCCAUCCUGAGCCGCGACCACCUCCAAAAUGCCAGGGGCCGCUGUCCCCUGUAAUCCGUCCUGUCCCUUCCCCAAUGCCCACCCAUCCGGGCAGGUUCUGAGAAGUCACCAUGGCACAGAGGAAAGGGCCCAGCGGGGAACUCGGGCAAUCCCUUGGGCUCCCACAUCCCUGGCGGGCGGGCAGCCUUCGUUUCUUCCUCCCCGCGGGGUCACAGAGAUGAGGACGUGACUGUCGGAGCCCUGGAGGGGAUGGUGGGGGCCUUAAUUCAUAGCGAUUCCAUGACCUCUCCUCCUCUACGCGUCCUCCGUCCAGAAAUUGGGGCCACCCCCAGGAACCCCGAUGCCGACAAAGAUGAAUUAAUGGAUGUCACUUGUCCCCAGCAUCUGGAGACGCUGGCUGUAAUUACAUCUUCACCAGGACCUCGAAACCCACGUCUCCUGAGUCACCGAGCUCUCCCGUGGUUUCGUUUAAAAUCUAACUCCUGGUUAUGAACGUUCAAUAUUGGGGGCAAAGCGUUCCCCGUCUCCUCCACCCAGAAGCCACCCCUUGUCUCAUUUGAAAAGUCACGGAGGUGUCACUUCACAUCCGUGUAAUUUCCGGGGCGACCUGGGUUGGCGAUGAGCUUUUUCUUUUGUUUCGCCGUUCAGUUAGUUAAAUUCCGUCGGUGCAAGCUCGUGGUGGGGAAAAUCGAUCGGUGACCUGGCUUCAGCGUGUGUAGUCAUGUUGUUUAGGGACCAGAGGGCCCCCCGGACGGGAGCUUGACCUCAGUGUCACCUCCGCUGAGGCUGGAGGCUAAUUCACAAUCCUUCUGAACAAACACAGCGCUCUCUGCCCAGGGAGGCAGCCCGUUUGCCGUUUGUCUCCUGCGUCCUUACGGGUGAGGGAAGGGGGCCAAGAGGUGACGGGCGAGGCAGCUCACAGGGUGGGAUUCACAGCUGCGCCUCCUGGGGCCCGGCUCCCGGAAACCCCCGUGUCUGCGUGUCUGCACGGGGUUCAGGGUCCCGGCCUCGAACUCCCCUCCCAGCCCUCCUGCCCCUUGUGGACGCCUGAUUCCUCCUUGAGACUUUACGUCCAUCUGCCCGGGACUCCGUCCCAGCGAAGCCCCCCCGUUCCUGUCCUUCAUGGAGCUCACAGAGCCUAGCAAUGACUGUGUUUUGCUUUUUAUUUUUUAAUAUCAUGAACACACUGGGCAGUUUCAAAUUUACAGAAAAACCGAGCAGUGCAGAGUUCACUGCAGCUCCCCGUGUUACCUGCACUGUAUCGGGUACAUUUGUUACCACUGCUGAGACAAAAUCGACACAUUAGUAUUCACGGAUGUCCACUGUUCCCUUGGGGCUCAUCUUGGUGUUGUGCGGGCCGCGGGUUUGGACUCGUGGAUGAUGACGUGUAUCCACCGUGUUCGUGGCAUACGGAACGGCUUCACUGCCCUCUUUGUAGGAAGCGAUAAUGAUAUGUGACGUGUAUCCAAACCCAUGAACUGUGCAAAUCCAGGAGGGAACCCUAAUUCGAGUAAAGUGGACGUUGGGUGAUUACAAUGUGUCAAUUUAGGUUCGCCAAUUACAACGAUUAUCUCUAGUGGGGGCGGAUAUUGAGUCUGUGUAAGUGGGGGGCAGGGGAUAUGAGGGGCAUCUCUGUACCCUCCCUUCAGUUCGGCUGUGACCCUGAAACUGUUCUUUAAAAAAAAAGUGACUGUCCUUUCUGACUGGAUUACCGCGUUCUGUUGAUUCUUACUUUGUGGUUGGCUUGAUUCCUUUGAUAACUCUGUACGUUUAAAAAGCGAAUACUCUACAAUGUUCUUAGAGAUAAUGAGCCGUACCUACAUGUAAACUAAAAAAAUGUGUAUUGCAGUAUAUUGUGUGUGCGUAUUUACAUGCAAUAUGUUGUAUUAUGUGCAAAUUGUAACAAUUCUACCUAAUAUAACUGAAUAAUGAAAAAAAGAAAGAAAACUGGCUAAUCUACAAAUAUAUAUAUAUAGUAAGCCUUUAAAAAUAAGAAAAUUCCUCUGUGCUCCACGUGUCCCUCCCUCCCGGCAACCGCUGACCAUGUGCGUCAUCAGCCUUACGGGCAGGGCGACCUGCUCUGUGUCUGUCACCUGGGACAGGUGUGUGCGACCUGGGUGGGCGGCGUGGCGUUUUUACGGCUCCGAGACUGCGCGCUGACAGAGUGCGCCACCAUCCUCGAGCCUGGGGGGACCCGCUUCUCCGGGGACGCGGCUUCCUCAGGCCGACCUCUGCUCCCGGCGGUGAGAGAGAACGCCUCCCUGUCUGGGCACCUGUGUGUGGCGAGGACCCUCUGGAGCGAAGCCUGAGGCGAGGGUCUGGUGCCCGCGGAUGGACGGGCGGGAAGUCACAGGGCUGGGGUGGCAGGAGGGGACUCCUGACAGCUGUCCUUCCCCCGGGGAGGGAGGGGGGCGGUAAAACCCACGCAUUUUGAGGCCAGCGGGUGUGCAUUUGGACACGUGGAUGGAGGGGGCCCAUGAACACGGGUGGGACAAGGCUGCUGUCUGCUGCAGCAGGAGGCCCCGUCUCGGUUCCCGCCCUGCCCGCCGCGGCUCUGACACCACGCGCUGCAGGGCGGAACCCAGAGGUUUCUUUUCACUCUUACUUUCCUGCCCCGCUCUCCCGUGGAGCUGAGUGCAAACUCAACCCUCGACCACCCCACUGGCGUGAACGCAGGGCAGGAUGUCCCCUCGGGCUGGCGUCCAGGGGGGUCACUCGCCUGCGUGAGUCCCAUUCCAUUUAUAUGCUGAAAUAAGACUCCUCCGGGCCAUUUUCUCCCCGGGAUGGGGGGGCACUGGCUUAUCCACAUUCUUCUUCCUCUUCGUGUUUGGGAGACAGCCCGAAAUGCACAAGGAUCGUCAGCCAGGUCUUCUGAGCUACAGAGGUGACCGUGUCAAUCACGCAUUGAUGCGAUCAUUCAGCAAAUAUUCACGGAGAGCCUGCUUAUGGAGAGGCUCCAGGAGUGAGGGAUGUCAGCAUGAAAAAAAAAAGAAAGAAAGAAAGAAACAGGAAUCAGUAAGAUACAGCAGUCUGGGUGCACCCCUGUGUGUCUGUCUGUAUGUCUGGGGCGGGGGUGACUGAAGACAAGAGAGGAGGGAAGAGAGACGGGAAGAGAGACUCGUGCAUCAGGACGUGUUACCAGGAGCAACCUGGCGUCUUCACAGUAAGACACUAACAUCCCUAGGAAAGAGCAGCUGGAGGAGAAACGGGGCUUGGGAGGGAAGGGGCUGGCGCACCGCUGAGCACACCCGAGCCUCCGCGCGUCACCAGCACACCUGCUCCUCCCCAGGGUUCCCCCGACAUCCCCUCCACCUCGCUCCCAGCGCCUCGGCUUUGUCGUCCUCACGCCCGGCGACAGGCGCGCGCACGCGCGGCCGUGGGGCCCGGCUGCAGGCCCGGGUGCGCCGCCGCCCACAGGGAGGCCCCCGGGGUCCGCGCCACACAGGUGUC